UUAAAUUGAAGAGUUUGAUCAUGGCUCAGAUUGAACGCUGGCGGCAGGCCUAACACAUGCAAGUCGAGCGGUAGCACAGAGAGCUUGCUCUCGGGUGACGAGCGGCGGACGGGUGAGUAAUGUCUGGGAAACUGCCUGAUGGAGGGGGAUAACUACUGGAAACGGUAGCUAAUACCGCAUAACGUCGCAAGACCAAAGUGGGGGACCUUCGGGCCUCAUGCCAUCAGAUGUGCCCAGAUGGGAUUAGCUAGUAGGUGGGGUAACGGCUCACCUAGGCGACGAUCCCUAGCUGGUCUGAGAGGAUGACCAGCCACACUGGAACUGAGACACGGUCCAGACUCCUACGGGAGGCAGCAGUGGGGAAUAUUGCACAAUGGGCGCAAGCCUGAUGCAGCCAUGCCGCGUGUGUGAAGAAGGCCUUCGGGUUGUAAAGCACUUUCAGCGGGGAGGAAGGCGUUAAGGUUAAUAACCUUGGCGAUUGACGUUACCCGCAGAAGAAGCACCGGCUAACUCCGUGCCAGCAGCCGCGGUAAUACGGAGGGUGCAAGCGUUAAUCGGAAUUACUGGGCGUAAAGCGCACGCAGGCGGUCUGUCAAGUCGGAUGUGAAAUCCCCGGGCUCAACCUGGGAACUGCAUUCGAAACUGGCAGGCUAGAGUCUUGUAGAGGGGGGUAGAAUUCCAGGUGUAGCGGUGAAAUGCGUAGAGAUCUGGAGGAAUACCGGUGGCGAAGGCGGCCCCCUGGACAAAGACUGACGCUCAGGUGCGAAAGCGUGGGGAGCAAACAGGAUUAGAUACCCUGGUAGUCCACGCCGUAAACGAUGUCGAUUUGGAGGUUGUGCCCUUGAGGCGUGGCUUCCGGAGCUAACGCGUUAAAUCGACCGCCUGGGGAGUACGGCCGCAAGGUUAAAACUCAAAUGAAUUGACGGGGGCCCGCACAAGCGGUGGAGCAUGUGGUUUAAUUCGAUGCAACGCGAAGAACCUUACCUGGUCUUGACAUCCACAGAACUUUCCAGAGAUGGAUUGGUGCCUUCGGGAACUGUGAGACAGGUGCUGCAUGGCUGUCGUCAGCUCGUGUUGUGAAAUGUUGGGUUAAGUCCCGCAACGAGCGCAACCCUUAUCCUUUGUUGCCAGCGGUUCGGCCGGGAACUCAAAGGAGACUGCCAGUGAUAAACUGGAGGAAGGUGGGGAUGACGUCA
rnacentral:rRNA from 1 species